GACGAACGCUGGCGGCGUGCUUAACACAUGCAAGUCGAACGGUAAGGCCCUUCGGGGUACACGAGUGGCGAACGGGUGAGUAACACGUGGGUGAUCUGCCCUGCACUUCGGGAUAAGCCUGGGAAACUGGGUCUAAUACCGGAUAGGACUCCUGGCUUCAUGGUUGGGGGUGGAAAGCUUUUGCGGUGUGGGAUGGGCCCGCGGCCUAUCAGCUUGUUGGUGGGGUAAUGGCCUACCAAGGCGACGACGGGUAGCCGGCCGGAGAGGGUGACCGGUCACACUGGGACUGAGAUAAGGCCCAGACUCCUACGGGAGGCAGCAGUGGGGAAGAUUGCACAAUGGGCGCAAGCCUGAUGCAGCUACGCCGCGUGAGGGAUGACGGCCUUCGGGUUGUAAACCUCUUUCAGCUAUGACGAAGAGCAAGUGACGGUAGUAGCAGAAGAAGGACCGGCCAACUACGUGCCAGCCGCCGCGGUAA
rnacentral:rRNA from 1 species